rnacentral:rRNA from 1 species
GAUGAACGCUGGCGGCGUGCCUAAUACAUGCAAGUCGAGCGAACAGACGAGGAGCUUGCUCCUCUGACGUUAGCGGCGGACGGGUGAGUAACACGUGGAUAACCUACCUAUAAGACUGGGAUAACUUCGGGAAACCGGAGCUAAUACCGGAUAAUAUAUUGAACCGCAUGGUUCAAUAGUGAAAGACGGUUUUGCUGUCACUUAUAGAUGGAUCCGCGCCGCAUUAGCUAGUUGGUAAGGUAACGGCUUACCAAGGCAACGAUGUGUAGCCGACCUGAGAGGGUGAUCGGCCACACUGAAACUGAGACACGGUCCAGACUCCUACGGGAGGCAGCAGUAGGGAAUCUUCCGCAAUGGGCGAAAGCCUGACGGAGCAACGCCGCGUGAGUGAUGAAGGUCUUCGGAUCGUAAAACUCUGUUAUUAGGGAAGAACAAAUGUGUAAGUAACUAUGCACGUCUUGACGGUACCUAAUCAGAAAGCCACGGCUAACUACGU